UCUUUAAAAGUUUACUAACUAUCUAUUUUGUAAAUAGAAAAUAUAUAAAGAA
rnacentral:tRNA from 1 species